rnacentral:rRNA from 1 species
AACGAACGCUGGCGGCAUGCCUAACACAUGCAAGUCGAACGAGACCUUCGGGUCUAGUGGCGCACGGGUGCGUAACGCGUGGGAAUCUGCCCUUGGGCUCGGAAUAACAGUUGGAAACGACUGCUAAUACCGGAUGAUGACGUAAGUCCAAAGAUUUAUCGCCCAAGGAUGAGCCCGCGUAGGAUUAGCUAGUUGGUGAGGUAAAGGCUCACCAAGGCGACGAUCCUUAGCUGGUCUGAGAGGAUGAUCAGCCACACUGGGACUGAGACACGGCCCAGACUCCUACGGGAGGCAGCAGUGGGGAAUAUUGGACAAUGGGCGAAAGCCUGAUCCAGCAAUGCCGCGUGAGUGAUGAAGGCCUUAGGGUUGUAAAGCUCUUUUACCCGGGAUGAUAAUGACAGUACCGGGAGAAUAAGCUCCGGCUAACUCCGUG